AUACGGAGGGUGCGAGCGUUAAUCGGAAUUACUGGGCGUAAAGGGUGCGUAGGUUGUUUGAUAAGUUAUCUGUAAAAUCCCCGGGCUUAACCUGGGCAGGUCAGAUAAGACUGUUGGACUUGAGUACAGGAGAGGGCAGUGGAAUUUCCGGUGUAGCGGUGAAAUGCGUAGAGAUCGGAAGGAACACCAGUGGCGAAGGCGGCUGCCUGGCCUGAUACUGACACUGAGGCACGAAAGCGUGGGGAGC
rnacentral:rRNA from 1 species